GAUGAACGCUGGCGGCGUGCUUAACACAUGCAAGUCGAACGGUGAAGCAGGAGCUUGCUCUUGUGGAUCAGUGGCGAACGGGUGAGUAACACGUGAGCAACCUGCCCCUGACUCUGGGAUAAGCGCUGGAAACGGCGUCUAAUACUGGAUAUGUGAUGUGACCGCAUGGUCUGCAUCUGGAAAGAAUUUCGGUUGGGGAUGGGCUCGCGGCCUAUCAGCUUGUUGGUGAGGUAGUGGCUCACCAAGGCGUCGACGGGUAGCCGGCCUGAGAGGGUGACCGGCCACACUGGGACUGAGACACGGCCCAGACUCCUACGGGAGGCAGCAGUGGGGAAUAUUACACAAUGGGCGGAAGCCUGAUGCAGCAACGCCGCGUGAGGGAUGACGGCCUUCGGGUUGUAAACCUCUUUUAGCAGGGAAGAAGCGAAAGUGACGGUACCUGCAGAAAAAGCACCGGCUAACUACGUGCCAGCCGCCGCGGUAA
rnacentral:rRNA from 1 species